CACUACAUUGCAGCCUGAGCGACAGUGAGACUUGGUCUCAAAAAAAAAAGAUUCAUGAAGAACUUAGGAAAGAACAACAUAGUGGAAAGGGGAAGAGGGAAGUCCUAUUUUUUUCAAACACAGGCUAAGACAUUUCUAACCUCCAGAACAAUCGGCAUAGCUUCAAGAGUAGCCAUAUAGAUUUAGGUUAGACAGCUGGCAGAACCUGAUAAUUAGAGAAGGUAGACAGCUCUUAGGAAGCUUUUUAAAAUGCAGUGGGGCAGCCCCGUUCCUGACUCACAGAAUUACACUGUUUCAGGAGAGAACAGAAAGGAAAUGCUUUGUGAUUGCAAUCUUCCCUCCUGUGCCCAUGGGGCAAGGGAUACUUCUGACUCCCACAGAUGCAACAUCAGUGAUCUGGUGAGAACAAACAAGGUUUUCUUCACCAGAGCAUUCAGGAUCCCUGUAGAGAGGGUGGGACAUGGCAUCCUAGAAUAUUAGAAGGGGAAGGGACUGAGAGAUUGCUUGUAUUAGUCAGGCACUAGGGGCUCACUGAAUAACAACUCUCUUUUCACUCAAGUUCUGAACCAACUGAGAAACAGGGCACAGAAAACCAACAGAUGGGGAUCAAUAUGUCAGCUUUAUGACUGAUAAGAGCUAGACUGGAAGAUAUGGUUUCGAUGUGACGUCAAAUGGGCUUGCUUACACUGUUCCCAGAAUAAACUUCCCACCUAAUUACAGGCAGUGCUGGAAAGACUGCAGGCCUCAUCUUAUGGGGAUCUGCCUCUGUGUGGCACAUAGAGGAACAGAAUAACUGUCCCCUUUAAUGAGGCUGGCUCCCAAAGAGAAAAAAGAGAAGGCAUUAAACUCACCAUUGCCAGACUUACUAAUUAGAUAAUUCGUGUCUUCUUCAGGGAGAAGAAUGAAUAAGGGGCAGAAAGAGAGGCCAGGAAUUCUGCUCUAGUGAUCUUCAAAUUUUAGUAAGCAUCAGAGUCACCUGGUGAGCUUGUUAUACCACAGAUUGCUGGCGUCCACUCCCAGAACCCUGAUUCAGCUAGAGCCUGCCUGCAGGGAGAAGGAGUUCUCUUCUGCUCCUUGUUUUAAGUCUCAUCUGGGCAGGGCCCCAUGUCUGGAGGCUGCUGGGGACCAUGCUACUUCCACUGGAUGGGAGAGCAAAAACAAAAACAACAAAUUCUGCCCACAAAAUGCUUAUUACAAAGGGAAAGAGAAUAUGUUUUCAGUGAAGAAAGCUGGAAGACACCACCUUCGUCAAAUGAUCAAAGUGAACAUCAUCAGUAAUGGGACAAACGGAAACAAUAGACCCACUGGUAAGAUGCAAUAAGAGCAUAAUAUUAUUCCUGUGAUGUGUAACCUGAAUGUAAUCAUUGAGAAAACAUCAGCCAUACCUAAAUUGAGGGACACUCUACAAAAUACCUAAAUUGAGGGACACUCUACAAAAUAAUCUUCAAAUACGUUAAGGUUAUGAAUGUCAAGAAAAGACUGAAGUACUGUGUCUAAUUCAAAAGGAGAAUAAAGAGGCAUGACAACCAAAUGCAACAUGUAAUGCUGAACUGGCUCCUUUGCUGAAAAAGACCUCCUUGGGAUAACUGGUAAAAUUUUCAUGGGGCCUGAAGAUUGGAUGGUUGUAAUGUGUUAAUAUCAAUUUCCUGAUUUUGAUGGCUGUAUUGUGGCUGUAUAGGCAAAUGUCCUUGUGUUUAGGAAAUAUACACUGAAGUACUCAGUGGUGAUGGGUUAUCAUGUCAGUGACUUACUCUCAAACAAGGUGAAGAAAAUUCUUUGUACUAAUCUUGCAACUUUUCCAUGGAUUUGAGACUGUUUUGAAAAAUUAAUGAUCUAGAGGAAGAGAAGAGUACGGCACUGGAAGGCUGAUUGCAAUCGUGUGUGGGCAGGACUUGUUGCCCACAGGGCUUCUUUGUACCUUGCUAAGGCAGAGGGUUGGCUUUUCCCCUGGACACCUCACUCUUGCUUUCCAAGGCAUCUGGUGCCUCUAAUUUCUGAAUCUUUCUAGGGUACUGCAGGGACACUGACUUGCUUCUUGUCAGUGUCUCCUUUGCAAGUACCCUCUGACCUCGUUUGGUUUUCUUGAAAGUCAAGUCUGAGAUAAGAACUUGGGUGGAGGUAGUUUAUUGGAGAGAUGAUCCCAGGAAGCAAGUGUGAAGAAGCAGAGAAAAGCUGAUCAAAGGAAGAAGGAAAAGCCAAUAGAAGAGUACAUUAUUAAGGUCAUCUUUGAGGUAGUUAGGGACUGGGAAAGGUACAGUGUGCCUCUCCAAACUGUCUGCCCAAGGCACUGGACAUUGAAGUAUGCAUCCUUUCUCUCUGUGGGUCCCCCUUUGGUUGAGGACUGCCCCCCACUGGCAUUAAUUUGGGGAGUCCUACUCCCCAAGUGCCUUUUCUCUUGCACAUGAGCCAAGCAGCUUUCAUAAUAUCGAAGAAGCUCCAGGGCAAAGAGAAAAAAUUUGGGUUGUUGAGGCACAAUGCUAUCAGCACAGGUGAGUUUGAGCUGUGGCUGAAGUCACAGGCAGGCUGAGAAGAUAUGAAUGAGGUAGCAGCUUUGCCUUCCUCCAAUUUCUUAAGACAAUUUCUCCACCUGCUUUCUCUAUUUCAGAUUUCUCCCUCUGUCGCCAAGGAUGGAGUUUGUGUUUUUGUUUACUAGUCUCUUUGUUGGCAAUGGGCUGAUGUCUGAGUAAAGUACAGGGAAAGGACUUUGCUAUCUUGUCAUCAGAAGUCAACCCAUUGAUAACUAAUAUAACACUUGCUUUUAAUGUAUCCAAUACGUGAUUACACUACUGUGAGUGAUUCCCAAACCCUGUCCCCAGCUCUUCUAGUUGUCUCAUUUCUCAGGAUUUCUUUGGCAUUGCUGGUUAAUGAAGUGAGAUUUGCUCAUCCUAGGCAAAUCACAGGUUGGACUCCUCCCAUCCAAGAGGGAAUGCAAUUCAUGCUCCACAAUUUUCACAGAAGCUUGUCAGCUUCAGUAUCUAUUGGUCUUAUACAUAUUUUUCUCUUUCUCUCUUUCCCUCUUUCUAGCACCUAUUGGUCUUAGAGUUGUUUUUUCUCUCUCUCUCUCUUUUUCAGAUGGGGUCUCACUAUCUUGGCCAGACUGGUGUUG